rnacentral:rRNA from 1 species
GAUGAACGCUAGCGGCAGGCCUAACACAUGCAAGUCGAGGGGUAGCAGGAUUAAGCUUGCUUAAUUGCUGACGACCGGCGCACGGGUGCGUAACGCGUAUGCAACCUACCUUAUACUGGGGUAUAGCCCGGAGAAAUUCGGAUUAAUCCCCCAUAGUACUAAUGAAUCGCAUGGUUUAUUAGUUAAAGCAUUGCGGUAUGAGAGGGGCAUGCGUCCUAUUAGCUAGAUGGUGAGGUAACGGCUCACCAUGGCUACGAUAGGUAGGGGGCCUGAGAGGGUGGUCCCCCACACUGGUACUGAGACACGGACCAGACUCCUACGGGCGGCAGCAGUGAGGAAUAUUGGUCAAUGGGCGCAAGCCUGAACCAGCCAUGCCGCGUGCAGGAAGAAUGCCCUAUGGGUUGUAAACUGCUUUUAUUUGGGAAUAAACCUCUUUACGUGUAGAGAGCUGAAGGUACCAAAUGAAUAAGCACCGGCUAACUCCGUGCCAGCCGCCGCUGUAA